UCCAAGUUACGACUAUGUUCUU
rnacentral:misc_RNA from 1 species